GACGAACGCUGGCGGCGUGCCUAAUACAUGCAAGUCGAGCGGACCAAACAGGAGCUUGCUCUUGUUUGGUUAGCGGCGGACGGGUGAGUAACACGUGGGUAACCUGCCCGUAAGACCGGGAUAACUCCGGGAAACCGGAGCUAAUACCGGAUAACACCGAAGACCGCAUGGUCUUUGGUUGAAAGGCGGCUUCGGCUGCCACUUACGGAUGUGCCCGCGGCGCAUUGGCUAGUUGGUGAGGUAACGGCUCACCAAGGCGACGAUGCGUAGCCGGCCGGAGAGGGUGACCGGCCACACUGGGACUGAGACACGGCCCAGACGCCUACGGGAGGCAGCAGUAGGGAAUCUUCCGCAAUGGACGAAAGUCUGACGGAGAGACGCCGCGUGAGCGAAGAAGGUCGUCGGAUCGUAAAGCUCUGUUGUUAGGGAAGAAGAAGCGCCGUUCGAACAGGGCGGCGCGGUGACGGUACCUAACGAGAAAGCCCCGGCUAACUACGUG
rnacentral:rRNA from 1 species